CACAGGUAUGUCAUCGUUUUAUACAAUACACCCCUAGUUAGUUUUUACUUUGUAACAAUUUGAUUUAGUUGUCCGUCAAGGAAGGCUCAAAGGUCAUACCUUCAAAAGGUCCAAAGGAUGGUAUUUGCCAUUGUGGACGCUCAGUCACGCUCUGUUUAUCGAAAAAACUAUGUCACAAUUAUUGCAAUAAUAGUUCAAUAAUGAAUAAUUAAUAUGAAUUACUACAUUAGACAUGUAGCAAUCUAACAGUUCACUCAUUGUAUUAGUUUGUUCGGUCAAUAACGAUUAAAUUUUCGUUCCAAGAAAA